GGGUAGUUUGACUGGGGCGGUCUCCUCCCAAAGAGUAACGGAGGAGCACGAAGGUGGGCUAAUCACGGUUGGACAUCGUGAGGUUAGUGCAAUGGCAUAAGCCCGCUUAACUGCGAGAAUGACGGUUCGAGCAGGUGCGAAAGCAGGUCAUAGUGAUCCGGUGGUUCUGUAUGGAAGGGCCAUCGCUCAACGGAUAAAAGGUACUCCGGGGAUAACAGGCUGAUACCGCCCAAGAGUUCAUAUCGACGGCGGUGUUUGGCACCUCGAUGUCGGCUCAUCACAUCCUGGGGCUGAAGUCGGUCCCAAGGGUAUGGCUGUUCGCCAUUUAAAGUGGUACGCGAGCUGGGUUUAGAACGUCGUGAGACAGUUCGGUCCCUAUCUGCCGUGGGCGUUGGAAGAUUGAAGGGGGCUGCUCCUAGUACGAGAGGACCGGAGUGGACGAACCUCUGGUGUUCGGGUUGUGUCGCCAGACGCAUUGCCCGGUAGCUAAGUUCGGAAUUGAUAAGCGCUGAAAGCAUCUAAGCGCGAAGCGAGCCCUGAGAUGAGUCUUCCCUGACAGUUUAACUGUCCUAAAGGGUUGUUCGAGACUAGAACGUUGAUAGGCAGGGUGUGUAAGCGUUGUGAGGCGUUGAGCUAACCUGUACUAAUUGCCCGUGAGGCUUAACCAU
rnacentral:rRNA from 2 species